rnacentral:rRNA from 1 species
GGGGAAUAUUGGACAAUGGGCGAAAGCCUGAUCCAGCCAUGCCGCGUGUGUGAAGAAGGUCUUCGGAUUGUAAAGCACUUUAAGUUGGGAGGAAGGGCAGUAAGCGAAUACCUUGCUGUUUUGACGUUACCGACAGAAUAAGCACCGGCUAACUCUGUGCCAGCAGCCGCGGUAAUACAGAGGGUGCAAGCGUUAAUCGGAAUUACUGGGCGUAAAGCGCGCGUAGGUGGUUUGUUAAGUUGGAUGUGAAAGCCCCGGGCUCAACCUGGGAACUGCAUCCAAAACUGGCAAGCUAGAGUACAGUAGAGGGUGGUGGAAUUUCCUGUGUAGCGGUGAAAUGCGUAGAUAUAGGAAGGAACACCAGUGGCGAAGGCGACCACCUGGACUGAUACUGACACUGAGGUGCGAAAGCGUGGGGAGCAAAC